GAUCAUGGCUCAGGAUGAACGCUAGCGGCAGGCUUAAUACAUGCAAGUCGUGGGGCAGCAGGUUUGUAGCAAUACAGAUGCUGGCGACCGGCAAACGGGUGCGGAACACGUACAGAACCUUCCUUUGAGCGGGGAAUAGCCCAGAGAAAUUUGGAUUAAUACCCCAUAGUAUAAUGAAGUGGCAUCACUUUAUUAUUAAAGAUUUAUCACUCGAAGAUGGCUGUGCGGCUGAUUAGGUAGUUGGCGGGGUAAAGGCCCACCAAGCCUGCGAUCAGUAACUGGUGUGAGAGCACGACCAGUCACACGGGCACUGAGACACGGGCCCGACUCCUACGGGAGGCAGCAGUAAGGAAUAUUGGUCAAUGGAGGCAACUCUGAACCAGCCAUGCCGCGUGGAGGAUGAAGGUCCUCUGGAUUGUAAACUUCUUUUAUAUGGGACGAAAAAAGGCUUUUCUAAGUCGUCUGACGGUACCAUAUGAAUAAGCACCGGCUAACUCCGUG
rnacentral:rRNA from 1 species